UACGGGGGAGCAAGCGUUGUUCGGAUUUACUGGGCGUAAAGGGCGCGUAGGCGGUCGUGACAAGUCACUUGUGAAAUCUCCGGGCUUAACUCGGAACGGUCAAGUGAUACUGUCGGACUAGAGUACAGAAGGGGCAACUGGAAUUCUCGGUGUAGCGGUGAAAUGCGUAGAUAUCGAGAGGAACACCUGCGGCGAAGGCGGGUUGCUGGGCUGAUACUGACGCUGAGGCGCGAAAGCCAGGGGAGCGAACGGGG
rnacentral:rRNA from 1 species